CGCUGAUCCCAUAGUGAGAUCCUGGUGAUCCCAUACAGACAGCCCACUGAUCCCACACGGACAGCCUGGUGGUCCCAUAGUGAGAUCCUGCUGAUCCCACACGGACAGCCUGCUGAUCCCAUGGAGAGAUCCUACUGAUCCCAUAGGAACAGCCUGCUGAUCCCAUACAGACAGCCCACUGAUCCCACACGGACAGCCUUCUGAUCCCAUACGGACAGCCUACUGAUCCCAUAGUGAGAUCCUGCUGAUCCCAUGGUGACAUCCUUGUGAUCCUGUGGUGACAUCCUGCUGAUCCCAUGGUGACCUCCUGGUGAUCCCAUGGUGACAUCCUGGUGAUCCCAUGGGGACGUUCAGGUGAUCCCAUACGGACAGCCCGCUGAUCCCAUAGUGACAUCCUGCUGAUCCCGUGGUGACAUUCAGGUGAUCCCAUGGUGACAUCCUGGUGACCCCAUGGUGACAUUCAGGUGAUCCCAUGGUGACAUCCUGGUGAUCCCAUGGUCAUAUCUUGGUGCUGUCAUGGUGACAUCCUGGAGAUCCCAUGGGGACAUCCUGGUGAUCCCAUGUGGACAUCCUGGUGAUCCCAUAAUGAGCUCCUGGUACUGCCAUGGUGACAUCCUGGUGAUCCCAUAGCGACAUCCUGGUGAUCCCAUAGCGACAUCCUGCUGAUCCCAUAGUGACAUCCUGCUGAUCCCAUGGUCACAUCCUGGUGAUUCCAUAGUGACAGUCAAGUGGUCCCAUGGUGACAUCCUGGUGAUCCCAUAGUGACAUCGUGGUGAUCCCAUGGGGACAUUUGGGUGAUCCCAUAGUGACAUCGUGGUGAUCCCAUGGGGACAUUUGGGUGAUCCCAUAAUGAGCUCCUGGUGAUCCCAUGGGGACAUCCUGGUGAUUCCAUGGGGAUAUUCAGCUGAUCCCGUGGUGAUGACGUCCUGGUGAUCCCAUGGGCAUGUUCAGGUGAUCCCAUGAUGACCUCCUGGUGAUCCCAUGGUCACAUUAUGGUGAUCCCAUGGGGACAUCCUGGUGAUCCCAUAAUGACCUCCUGGUGAUCCCAUGGUGACCUCCUGGCACUGCUAUGGUGAGAUUCUGGUGCUACCAUGGUGAGAUCCUGGUGAUCCCAUGGUGACAUCCUGGUGAUCCCAUAAUGAACUCUUGGUGAUCCCAUAGCGACAUCCUGGUGAUCCCGUGUGGACAUUCAGGUGAUCCCAUGGUGACAUCCUGGUGAUCCCAUGGUGACCUCCUGGUGAUCCCAUGGUGAUGUUAGGGUGAUCCCAUGGUGACAUUCAGGUGAUCCCAUGGGGACAUUCAGGUGAUCUCAUGGUGACAUCCUGGUGAUCCCGUGGUGGGAUCCUGGUGAUCCCGUGGUGACAUUCAGGUGAUCCCAUGGUGACAUCCUGGUGAUCCCAUGGUGAUGUUAUGGUGACCCCAUGGGGACAUUCAGGUGAUCUCAUGGUGACAUCCUGGUGAUCCCGUGGUGGGAUCCUGGUGAUCCCAUUGUCACAUCUUGGUGCUGUCAUGGCGACCUCCUGGUGAUCCCAUGUGGACAUCCUGGUGAUCCCAUAAUGAGCUCCUGGUACUGCCAUGGUGACGUUAUGGUGAUCCCAUAGUGACAUCCUGGUGAUCCCAUGGUGAUGUUAUGGUGAUCCCAUGGUGACAUCCUUGUGAUCCCAUGGUGACAUCCUUGUGAUCCUGUGGUGACAUCCUGCUGAUCCCAUGGUCACAUCCUGGUGAUCCCAUAAUGAGCUCCUGGUGAUCCCAUGGGGACAUUCAGGUGAUCCUAUGGGGACCUCCUGGUGAUCCCAUAAUGAGCUCCUGGUGAUCCCAUGGGGACAUCCUGGUGCUGCCAUGGUGACUCCUGGUGAUCCCAUGGGGACAUUCAGGUGAUGCCAUGGUGACAUCCUGGUGAUCCCAUAGUGAGGUCCUGGUGAUCCCAUGGAGACAUUCAGGUGAUCCCAUGGGGACGUUCAGGUGAUCCCAUGGUGGAAUCCUGGUGAUCCCAUAGUGAGAUCCUGGUGAUCCCGUGGUGACAUUCAGGCGAUCCCAUGGUAACAUCCUGGUGAUCCCAUGGUGACAUUCAGGUGAUCCCAUGGGGACAUUCAGGUGAUCCCAUGGUGACAUCCUGGUGCUGCCAUGGUGACAGCCUGGUGAUCCCAUCGCGACAUCCUGCUGAUCCCAUGUUGACCUCCUGGUGAUCCCAUGGUGAUGUUAUGGUGAUCCCAUGGGGACAUUCAGGUGAUCCCAUGGUGACAUUCAGGUGCUGCCAUGGUGACAUCCUGGUGCUGCCAUGGUGACAUUCAGGUGAUCCCGUGGGGACAUUCAGGUGAUCCCAUAAUAAGAUCCUGGUGAUCCCAUGGUCACUCCUGGUGACCCCCUGGUGACUCCCAGUGCUGCCAUGGUGACCUCCUGGUGAUCCCAUGGCGACUCCCAGUGCUGCCAUGGUGACUCCUGGUGAUCCCAUAAUGAGAUCCUGGUGAUCCCAUGGUGAUUCCCGGUGAUCCCAUGGUGACUCCUGGUGAUCUCAUGGUGACUCCCAGUGCUGCCAUGGUGACCUCCUGGUGAUCCCAUGGUGACUCCUGGUGACCCCAUGGCGACUCCCAGUGCUGCCAUGGUGAUUCCCGGUGAUCCCAUGGUGACUUCCUGGUGAUCCCAUGGUGAGAUGAUGGUGAUCCCAUGGUGAAUGAGAUCCUGGUGAUCCCAUGGUGACCUUAUGGUGCUGCCAUGGUGACUCCCAGUGCUGCCAUGGUGACUCCUGGUGAUCCCAUCGGGACAUCCUGGUGAUCCCAUGGUGACUCCUGGUGACCCCAUGGUCACCCCCAGUGUUUCCAUGGUGACUCCUGGUGAUCCCAUGGUGACAUCCUAGUGAUCCCAUGGUGAGAUGAUGGUGAUCCCAUGGUGACUCCUGGUGACCCCAUGGUGACUCCUGGUGACCCCAUGGUGACAUCCUGGUGAUCCCAUGGUGAUUCCCGGUGAUCCCAUGGUGACCCCCAGUGCUGCCAUGGUGACUCCUGGUGAUCCCAUGGGGACAUCCUGGUGAUCCCAUGGUGACUCCUGGUGCUGCCAUAGUGACUCCUGGUGAUCCCAUGGUGACUCCUGGUGAUCCCAUGGUGAUUCCCGGUGAUCCCAUGGUGACUCCCAGUGCUGCCAUGGUGACUCCUGGUGAUCCCAUGGUGACAUCCUAGUGAUCCCAUGGUGAGAUGAUGGUGAUCCCAUGGUGAAUGAGAUCCUGGUGAUCCCAUGGUGACCUUAUGGUGCUGCCAUGGUGACUCCCAGUGCUGCCAUGGUGACUCCUGGUGAUCCCAUAGUGAGAUCCUGGUGAUCCCAUGGUGAUUCCUGGUGAUCCCAUGGUGACUCCUGGUGAUCCCCUGGUGACCUCCUGGUGCUGUCAUGAUGACCCCUGGUGAUCCCAUGGUGACUCCUGGUGACCCCAUGGUGACUCCUGGUGAUCCCGUGGUGACUCCUGGUGAUCCCAUGGUGACACCUGGUGACCCCAUGGUGACCCCCAGUGUUUCCAUGGUGACCCGGCGGAGCCACAGUGAUUUCUCUCCCUCCCUAUGGGGCGCACAGAGCAGCGACUGAAAGCCCCGGAGGGCUGCGGGCGGUGCCUGCAGGGGGGGAUGGCGGCGCUGCUGGGAACACCGGGGGGGCACUGAUGGCAAUGGGGGGCACCACUGCCAUGGGGGGGAGGGGUGGGAUCUGUGGGGUGGGGGGGUGGGAUGGGAUGGGAUGGGAUCAGUGGGGUCACCAUUGGGAUGGAUGGGAUGGGCGGGAUGAUGGGAUGGGUGGGGACAACAUUGGGAUGGAUGGGAUGGGAUGAG
ensembl:lncRNA